rnacentral:rRNA from 1 species
GAUGAACGCUGGCGGCGUGCUUAACACAUGCAAGUCGAACGGUGAAAGAGAGCUUGCUCUCUGGAUCAGUGGCGAACGGGUGAGUAACACGUGAGCAAUCUGCCCCUGACUCUGGGAUAAGCGCUGGAAACGGCGUCUAAUACCGGAUACGAGCUGCGAAGGCAUCUUCAGCAGCUGGAAAGAACUUCGGUCAGGGAUGAGCUCGCGGCCUAUCAGCUAGUUGGUGAGGUAAUGGCUCACCAAGGCGUCGACGGGUAGCCGGCCUGAGAGGGUGACCGGCCACACUGGGACUGAGACACGGCCCAGACUCCUACGGGAGGCGGCAGUGGGGAAUAUUGCACAAUGGGCGCAAGCCUGAUGCAGCAACGCCGCGUGAGGGACGACGGCCUUCGGGUUGUAAACCUCUUUUAGCAGGGAAGAAGCGAAAGUGACGGUACCUGCAGAAAAAGCACCGGCUAACUACGUGCCAGCAGCCGCCGUAAUAC